CAUCGGAGCAGAGGACGCCCUGCAGAUGUGAGCCAAGCAUUAAGUGCAGUUGUCUGCAGAGCUUAAUUGCCCCUGCAACUUUUUUUGCCUGUCUUCUCAUUUUCCCUAGGUUGGCAUUUUUGUGGCUGAAUACCACUGGGAGUUAAGGACUUGCUGUGACUCUCGCUCUUACUUAGAGGAGUUUUGCCUGCAGCAGUCACAUAGUUGAAAAAUACAGAUCCAUGUGACUGCUAAGAGACCACUGAGAAGCCAAGAAUACCUCAAGCACUUCCGUGCCUUCUGGAUAUGGUUGACAGCAUUGCACAAGUGUGACUGAGAUCCUGAGGAGCAAGGGAAAUGACUUGGAUGCAGAAGUUUACCAAAACCAGAACUGGGAGAAUUUUGAUGGGGCAACAAAUGGAGCAAAACUUUGGUGAAUUUGGAUGGAGAACGCUUUGGCGUCUGUUACAGGCUGCUGGCAGCGCUGCCUGCUCCUUGGCUCUGUACUUCACCCUGACUUGUGAAUGAUCCGCUUGGGCUCUGGUGUCCCUGAACUAACCAAGUGUCUGGGAGCCCCGUUCAGCUGCUCUUCGGAACAAAAGAGAGAGAACCUGAAGGAAAUCCUGCUUGCACUGUGAAGCACUCUGAGUGCAGCCUGCCCGUUCAGGAGCGCACUGCAGAAAAUGAUGAGGGACAAGGUAAGGAACCACAUCCUUUCCCUUCUUAGCUGGCAAAGAAAACCCUUUUCUUUGGUCAGCCCUGGCAGAAGCUCCAUUUUAAACACCUUCCAAGAGUGACUGUGAAACCUCUAGAGACCACAGUAUCUGUCACUUGGGGUUUUCUUCUUAUGAGUCUGGGAAACUCCUUGAGACAUCCCCAUGCCUGGAAAACUUCAAAGUAUUUAUAAGAGAGCAUAAUGAGGCUUUAACUGUGAGGCACUGCACUUUGACGUGGGGAAGAGGCUGUUUCCAUUCUUGCCAGAGGAUUUGGUAGUCCC